GAUGAAGAACGUAGCGAAAUGCGAUAAGUAAUGUGAAUUGCAGAAUUCAGUGAAUCAUCGAAUCUUUGAACGCACCUUGCACCCUUUGGUAUUCCGAAGGGUAUGCUCGUUUGAGUGUCAUUGUACUCUCACACUUCCGAUCGUUUGGAUCGGGAGCGGUGGACUUGGGUGUUGCUGCUUUACUGUGGCUCACCUUAAAUGCAUUAGUGCACCUUUCGGUUGGACAUAGUACGGCGUGAUAAGUGUCUUCGCCGGCACCUCACAGAGGGUGGCUGAUCGGGAGCUCUGUGCUUCAAACCGUCCUCGGACAACAGCUGGCAACUUGACCUCAAAUCGAGUAGGACUACCCGCUGAACUUAAGCAUAUCAAUAAGCGGAGGA
rnacentral:misc_RNA from 1 species